UACGUAGGGCGCAAGCGUUAUCCGGAAUUAUUGGGCGUAAAGAGCUCGUAGGCGGUUUGUCGCGUCUGCCGUGAAAGUCCGGGGCUCAACUCCGGAUCUGCGGUGGGUACGGGCAGACUAGAGUGAUGUAGGGGAGACUGGAAUUCCUGGUGUAGCGGUGAAAUGCGCAGAUAUCAGGAGGAACACCGAUGGCGAGGGCAGGUCUCUGGGCAUUAACUGACGCUGAGGAGCGAAAGCGUGGGGAGCGAACAGG
rnacentral:rRNA from 1 species